rfam:Streptococcus sanguinis SK36, complete genome.
GGAGAAUUACUCAAGAGGCUGAAGAGGACGGUUUGCUAAAUCGUUAGGUCGGGUAACCGGCGCGGGGGUUCGAAUCCCCCAUUCUCCG